rnacentral:tRNA from 2 species
GGGCUGCUAGUGAAAUAUCACACUGCCUUGUCAAGGCAGAGUUGUGGGUUAAAACCCUGCGCAACCUU